UAACAUGAGAGUUUGAUCCUGGCUCAGGAUGAACGCUGGCGGCGUGCUUACCACAUGCAAGUCGAACGGAACUGUUUAGAUGAAGUUUUCGGAUGGAUUUUAAACAGUUUAGUGGCGGACGGGUGAGUAACGCGUGGGUAACCUGCCUCACACUGGGGGAUAACAGUUAGAAAUAGCUGCUAAUACCGCAUAAGCGCACAGUUCCGCAUGGGACAGUGUGAAAAACUCCGGUGGUGUGAGAUGGACCCGCGUCUGAUUAGCCAGUUGGCGGGGUAACGGCCCACCAAAGCGACGAUCAGUAGCCGGCCUGAGAGGGUGAACGGCCACAUUGGGACUGAGACACGGCCCAAACUCCUACGGGAGGCAGCAGUGGGGAAUAUU
rnacentral:rRNA from 1 species